GUGUCUGGUGGGUAGUUUGACUGGGGCGGUCUCCUCCUAAAGAGUAACGGAGGAGCACGAAGGUUGGCUAAUCCUGGUCGGACAUCAGGAGGUUAGUGCAAUGGCAUAAGCCAGCUUGACUGCGAGCGUGACGGCGCGAGCAGGUGCGAAAGCAGGUCAUAGUGAUCCGGUGGUUCUGAAUGGAAGGGCCAUCGCUCAACGGAUAAAAGGUACUCCGGGGAUAACAGGCUGAUACCGCCCAAGAGUUCAUAUCGACGGCGGUGUUUGGCACCUCGAUGUCGGCUCAUCACAUCCUGGGGCUGAAGUAGGUCCCAAGGGUAUGGCUGUUCGCCAUUUAAAGUGGUACGCGAGCUGGGUUUAGAACGUCGUGAGACAGUUCGGUCCCUAUCUGCCGUGGGCGCUGGAGAACUGAGGGGGGCUGCUCCUAGUACGAGAGGACCGGAGUGGACGCAUCACUGGUGUUCGGGUUGUCAUGCCAAUGGCACUGCCCGGUAGCUAAAUGCGGAAGAGAUAAGUGCUGAAAGCA
rnacentral:rRNA from 1 species